rnacentral:piRNA from 1 species
UGUUGAUGUUUUGUACCAGUAUGGUAAAA